UUACUGACCUGGCAGGGGAGAUACCCUUCUUCUUGGCCUUGAAUGACUCAGUGUAGUUGAGGGCGAAGGCCUGUCCCUUGCACUGUGGGCAGGUUGACCCCUGAGAGAGUCUAUAAUGCCUCUAAUGCGAGGAUCUUGGCUACACAAUUUAUGGUGAUGGGGGACUCCCCUUGGGCUUUUCCUCU
rnacentral:snRNA from 14 species